UACGUAGGGCGCAAGCGUUGUCCGGAAUUAUUGGGCGUAAAGAGCUCGUAGGCGGUCUGUUGCGUCCGCUGUGAAAACUCGGGGCUUAACCCCGAGCCUGCAGUGGAUACGGGCAGACUAGAGGUAGGUAGGGGGAGAAUGGAAUUCCCGGUGUAGCGGUGAAAUGCGCAGAUAUCGGGAGGAACACCGGUGGCGAAGGCGGUUCUCUGGGCCUUACCUGACGCUGAGGAGCGAAAGCGUGGGGAGCGAACAGG
rnacentral:rRNA from 1 species